UGCAGGUGGAAGUGAUGAUCAGGCCGCUGAAGGUCGUGAGGAAGAACAUGUAGGAGAACUCUGAAAUGCAGGAUCCGGAAGAGCAGCAGAAGCUUCUCUGAAGAGUCUGUUUUUCACCUGGUUGUUCACAUGAAUCCUGAAAAUAAAAGUGAAAACAUC